GGUUCCAAGAAGUGGCCCGCCGUGGGCUUCGGCGACUGGUUGCGAGCCAUGAUCGAGUUCCAGCUGAACUGGCCCGCCAUAGAGGCUGUCAAGGAGAAGCACGCUAAGAUGACAUCUUAUGGAAGCGGCAGAUCGGACCCCGAGCAAGUCAUACGUCAGCGCAAGUUCCUGCGGCACGUCCACGCUGCCAACAUCCUCAACAUGGAACGCCUCGCCGGCCUCCACAACGGUGUGAUGUAAGAAUAAAGUAAUAUAGCACAUCGAA